CAGGUCACGUGGGCAGAGAAGAGCAGGGGGAGAGAGGAGAGAAGGUCCACCCCCCUCACCGGGACUGGACCACCCAGAGCGGGGAGAAUGCCUUCUCUGCUAACAACUCCUGUGAAUAAGAAAGUUACAUUAGAUCAGAAUACCCAGACGCUGAGACAUGGAGGUUUGCAGCAAAGAGAUUAGUCACAAGACAGAUGAAUCUUGGAGCCACCUCGCUGAAGGCAACGGGAUUGGAAAUAGGUGUGAUAAUCCACAUUCUGCUCAGGCAUAACUCAGCCACUGGCCUCUGAACUUUUAAAAGGUCGUCCAGUGGAAACCCACGCAUGCCCACUUGAAGGAUCAGUGGUCCUAUCCAGUCUUAACAGGCUCAGCUCACACCAGACACAGCUGAUACCAAGUUCCUAGAAAACAACUCGAGCAAACAUCUUACUGUUUAAGCUAUGUCCUGCUUGAAGGACAUGCAAGUCUUUUGCAGUAACAAUUAAAAUGACUUUGAUUUGGUUACAGGUGAAAUGGAUUUAACCAGUGACUAUCCAUGGUUUCAUCUGCCAUACAGCAUAUAUUAAGAAUGAGAAUAAGAAAAAAAUGAGGAGGAACACUAAAGUGGAGAGGGGAAGACGCUGAAGACAUAUUUCCCAUUGCGAUUUUUGGAUCAAGCAUUCAUUUGCAGGGCAUGGAAAGCCAUCUUUUGCAUUGAUUACUGAUCAUAAUAUGACCCGGCACUGGAUUUGCUGUAGAUCUGAAGUAAAACCCCGCAGGAGCAAACUGGUAUCAGCUAAGACCCCAAAACCAUCAGUGUUGAGAAGGUUCACCCCCAUGAGAAGAAAGAGGAAACCUUUCAGGGUUGUAAUUGGAAGAGUCGCAGGGUUUAGGGGAGGCCAGUUUUACCUGAAUCCAACAAAAUGGUGUAGUCUGUAUUUAAUAUUGGAAUUGGGAGAAGAGGAGUUGCCUCUAGUUUUUUUCUUUUUUUCUUCUUCUUUCACUUUUACAGUUGCAAAAUAUUAUCAACUCAAAUCUGAGAGGAAAAAAAACUGAAAGUAUUUGUUGAACAAAUCAAAGUGCUUCAAUUUUUAUUUAAAUUUGUGUCUUUUAAAUCUUUAUGUAAAUCAUUCUAUGAUCUUUAUAGGGUAAAAAAAAAUUGUGACAAAAAGAAAAAACACGUAAUCCAAUCAAUCAAAAAUAAUUAUAAUGUCCUUAUCAAGCAUUCCUUCAGGUAUUUUCUGUGCAUACAUAACAUUAUGUACACCUUUUAAAUAAAAUCAGAUCGUCUCAAUCAAAAA